rnacentral:lncRNA from 1 species
GGGGUCUCAUGGUUACAUAACUUGCACAAUUCAGCUAUUGGUUUUUCCCCCCUUUUAAUUAGGCAGUUGAAUUCGGCACUUGCUCAGUGGUUCGCGGCGAUGCGGAGCACUGGUGCCAUAAGCUGAUUGAUCAAUCAAGCAGAUGCGAGCUACAUAGUUGCAUUAAGGAAUGCUCCAAAGAACCAUCUGGUGUGGGAGUGUGCCAAAAUACAGUUUGUUUUUGCACAUACUAUUGUAAGGAUCCUGUAAAGUGAUUACGAGUCAUUUCAUGAGGGCCUGAG